AACUUCUGCCAGUCAAUCGGUACUUUCAAGUCUUGAUUCCUUGCCAAAAUCUCGACAGUAGAAGCUAAAAUCCUAUCAUCGGGGUAAAGUUGAGGUUGUUUCUGAGCCCAACAGAAGGUCUGCAGAGCUCUAUCAGGAAAACCCAUAUGACCCAACUCUCGAAUUGUUAAAGACAAGGACCCUUUACGCAAGAAACGAGCACAAUCAUCAAGAACCGCAGAAACAUCAUCAUCUGGGUUAAGACAUUUAAUCUGCUUGGCUAAACUGAUAAGAAAACUUGGAUUUUUGUAUACUUUAUUGCAUAUAGGUGACCGUAAAGAGACUACAACAUUUCUAUUGUGUUUCUUUNNNCAUUUCUAUUGUGUUUCUUUGGAGAAGGAGGUCCUAGAGGUCUUAGCUUGUGAGGAAGUGGGAGUGAGAGGGGCCUUUCUCUAUUCAAAUUCCCUGGCUUUUGAGGGAUUCUCCCUUGAAAAAAGAGAUGAUAUUGCUUCAAUCUCAUCUGAUUCCAAAACAACCAUUUUGUUCUUUUUCUUCUUGAUUCAAAUCACCGCACCAUCAUCAACUAGAAAUGAAUCCAUUUGGAGGGGGUCAACGCCAGCUGUUGGCUUUUUAAGGAAUAAGUUAACCCCAAAAUCAGGAGGAAGCUUGGAUCGUCGAGUAGAUUGAAGGGCUUUAGGGAGUUUUCUUUUCUGUAGUAUGUUUUUGUAUUGGAAAGGGACAUCAAAGUUAAAUUUCUACAAAGUUAAAUUUAUGGGACAGAGGCUUAUGGACAAGAAUUUGGAGACCAUUUUCUUUGUAAUAGAAGUAAAAAAUAUCAAGACGUGUACUUUUUAGGCAUUGCAGCGGCUAAAUUAGUGCUUCUGAGGUAUUGCAGCAGUGAAGAUUGGCAGUGGAAUGACAAAUAGAGAUUUCGUCGAACACUCGGUGUGCUUUCUAAGCAAUUGGUCGCUUCCAGAGAAAAGGAUGAUUAAAAACAUUUUACCAAAUAAUGAUCCCACACAACAAAACAUCAUCAGUCUAAUACGAGGACAAAGAAAAGGAUAAGAAGCAGAUGACAGCUGAAAGCCUGAAUGAAUAAACAGGUAAUAGCCACCUUUUUUGCAGCUCUUCCAAGUCUAAGCAUGCCAGAACAUUCUAAUCGCUCUUAUUUUCAAUCUACAUUUUCAAUGUUAUCAUUCUAAAUGAAAGUGUGCAAAUUAGGAAAUUAAAAAUGUAACAUACUAUAAAACUGUGGUUUUUAACCUAAAAAAUUGACACUGAUCUGUACAAAAAUCUUCUCCUACAGUUUCUGAUGUUGUGAAUCAUUUGAAGAAAUAUACUGAGCAAGCCACCCUAACUCCAACACGCCACCUGAAUUCUUAUUCUUUUGGUGGAUAAAUGUUCAUACCUACACUGUGCUAUCCAGCAUGUUUAUUAAAAUAUACCCAUCAUCACAGCUGUAAUGCUAAAUCCGGCUGCUGUGGUGAACCAAUUGGCACACUGGAACUAGGUGAAUUUGGUGCCAAGAACCCAACAUUCAGAUCUGGUGGAAAUUGGAAAAAUUGUUCUUGGUGAUAUGAUGAUGAUACUCUGUGCCAAGAUGGUUUGCCAUCAACCCCUGCAUUCAAAAAUGUCUGAGAGUCCAGGUUAGAACCUAGAGCUGAUGAAUCUCCUGACUGUAGCAACCCAUUCCAAGUUUCUGAUAACUUGGCUUUGUUCAAACUACAAUCAUUCCCUGGCAUUGGGCAGAGAGUACUAGUGCUAGUUGAAACCAUGCCAAACACUUGAGAAGGAACUGCAGCAUGUUCUGUACUGGCCUUCCCUGUUGGUAUCCCAACUCUUCCGGUCCCAGUAUGAGGUGAACAAUUAUUAUAUCGCAACCCACCACUCAGUCCAUUGAUAUCAGAAUGAAUUAUGGGCUUCUGUUGAACCAGGACAGAAGACAUAUAGUUUAUCCCACCAGUACUACUGUUUGUUGAAAUUAAUUCACUCUGGGAACUUAUUUUGCCAACAUUUUCCAUCCAGUCUUCUCUAGUGCGAGCUGAACAUCUACUUGUGACUGCAGAGUUUGUGCCUGUAGCAGUAGGCUGAGGUCUGCUAAAAUGAUCAUUAAAUAUGGAACUGUUAGAAACUUUCGGCCUAUCAGAAAACUGAAACUUCUGCUGUCCGUCAACCACCUUAUCUUCUCCCACCCAGCCAGGACCAAACUCGAGUCCUGUUGGCAAUGCACUUUCUAUUUUCUUUGAAGCAAUUUUCCAAACAACGGGCCCAAGAUCUGCAGCAAAGCGAGCUAGACUUCUUGCAUAACCAUAUUCUGAGUUUAAACCUACCUUAUGUAUAUCAAAAACAAAUAGAAUCAGGUUGAGAAAGACAUCCACUGUCAUUAAAUAGCAAUUAAAUUUGAUAAUAUUGAUUCUGGUAGGUAGUGUCAUUCAAUUACCACAAUGAUGCACCAGACUAAGUAACAUGAAGAUUUCAGGUUUUUAAAAAAUGUCUCAACAACUAUCUUUUUACAGCUAAGAAUAUGAUGUAAAUCUAAAAGCUGCAUCCUGUCGUAUAUGAUUCCUAACCAUACAAUUUUAUUAAAAAGGAGCGCAAACCAAUGCAUAGAAUACCAGCUUCCAGCGCAGGAGAGCAGAAUAAAUAAAAAACACUAGGAACCUUUUUACAUACCGCCACCAGUUGCUUCAGUUCUCCUUCAAAAAAAUUCAAGCUGGAUGGUUCAGGAGUGGAAGCCAAUGGCUGCUUAUAGGUAUCACGCCUAUUCUCAUCUACUGCAUAGGGUUUCUUCCCAUACUUGAGCACAGCCUUUAAAACAGAAGCUGCAAGCCAAGAGAAAAUAAAUAUUAAAAGUCAUCGGAUGAUGCUGGGAAAUCAAAGUGAUCAUAUUAUAUACAUUUAAAGAAAAAAUGGGAGUUGAUAUUCCAAUUGAAAUGGCAAACCUGGAAAUUCAUUUUCCCAUUCAGACAUCCAGGCAGCAUAAGUUUCACUGCUGUGAGACCCAUGAGAAGUUCUGACCAGAACAUCUGCAGGUCGAUACUUGUAUGAAUUGGUUCUUCUAAGAUUAUAACCAUUAGUCUCAUUGGUGUUAUCCCCUCCAAAAGCAUGAGUUGCAUCUGAUGAACAAUCAGGACUAACACGGUCCAAGGGAGACCUCUCAAGUGAUUUUUUCAGCUUCCCUGGCGGUCUUCCCCUCCUGGCAACAUUGGGUUGGGGUUCACCAUCGUCACUAUCUUGCCUCAAGUUUUCAAAGUCCUUCUUGGCAAGCUCUUGUAUGGAUCGUGCCUAAAUAAGAAAUAUAACUGUUAAACAAAUGCACAAGCAAACCUUGGGGAAAGCAAAAUAAAACAAGGUACCCAACCAAACCUGUCGGUAGUAAAUAGUAUCCGAGGGGUUAUACUGCAUUGCAUUUGAACAUAUCAGGAAAACAUCUUUCUGCAAAAAAUACCAUAGCUCUCAGUUUAAAAAAUAGAUCGACGUCAACUAACAUAGCAAACAAGCAUUUUUUAAGCUGCAAUGAUAAAAAAAGACAGCCCUGCCUAUCCGAAGAAAACCUCACAUUGACUUUAACAUCCUGCCUAUCCAGAAACAAACAUAGCCCUUCUUACCCACCUGGCAGUCCACUCUCAACCCAAUUCAAGUACUUACCAAAUGCAGCUAUCGGUCUUGGUUUGCAAUUCAUUGCCUUUAGAACAAGAAACAUACUAACAUUCAGUUUUGAGAUCGAUCCUUUUAUAUUUAUCACCUAUUGUCGACUGGUCAUUAGUGAUCGAGUGAAUGCAAAAAACCAACCGGACUUUCUGCUAUUAGCCAAUUGCAUACUGAGGACACCCAUCAUUCUUUAUCUUAAGCAAGAGAUCAUGGGGUACAAUGUAUGGGUGUUGAUUGCAAAAUUUGGUAUGCUGCAUACUGAUGUUAUAGAUCUAUACACUAUUAGAGACAAAAUUAAGAAACUUCUGCCUUCAUAAGAAUCACAACAAUCAACUCAAACAUAAAUGCAAAUAAAACCUUCAUUAAAUGCAAGUCCAUUUCGAAAAUGUUGUUAAAUGUUGUAAGAAAUAUGAAGAGUGCCUGAAGGUCAAUUUACAGCAAUGAUGCAAUUAAUAGACGGUUUAUACUUUGUAACUAAGUUUCAACUUUCAAAGGAAACAUCUACAUAGUGAAUUAGUAAUCUGGCAACAAUAUCAAAGAGUACCUCCUUCUCUCUUCUCCCUUGUCUAGUAUCCAGUCAAAUAGAGACGUAUUUCGAACACCUUGUAUGGUUACGAGUUAAAUUCAAGAGAGGGAAAAUAUACAUCAACUGGAAAGUUUCCAUAUAUAUCAAAAGAACUAAACUACAACAGAAUUUUGAGUUCCCUAUCUCUCACAGGCUCCCACAACAUGGGCUCAAAUGGUUACUGAAUCAACUCAAUUGAAAAAAUUUACUUCAUAAAUCCAAAUUAACGACGCAUAGGCCACAAACCAACCUCAAAUUGUUCCAAGUUGAAAUAAGCUCCCCUGUCUAGCUUUUUCCUCACGGUGGAGAAGUCCAUGGGAUGCUCAACGAUGUCAUGGUAAUCAGGAAGCUGUAUUAAAAUCAGUUCAAUAUCACAAUAGUAUAUGUGAUUAGUUACUGCACUCAAAUGCAUUACUGGCAAAGAAAAAAAUUGCAUACCUCUUCAGGAUCCACUGGAUCAGAGAACACACCAUAAGUGUCCUUUCUGCAAGGAGUUGGUUAGAGCAAGUCGAUCAAAAAACAAUUGAAAGCAAGCCCGUGACCUAGUUAGGGGGAGGGAGGGAAUGAAAAAAGAAUAAAUAAAUCUAAGCAAUUAGAACAUCAACCCACUUUUGAAGCCUGUCAAGAAUGAAGACCAACAACUUUUUGUCUGGCAAAGGUGUAGUGGGGCCAGGCUCCACCGGUGACUCUGUAGAUAUAUAUAAAUAACACAGUUUCAAUUAAUUACUACUAAAAACUUUCUAAAAGAAAUAUCCUUCCAGAGAAUUCUUGUUCAAUACCUUGAAGAGUGUCUGUCGCUUUCAAAGCCUUUUCACCCUGCAAAUGAAUUAGUCCAACAUAAAUGAUACAAAAUUACCCAUACAAAACAAAAAUAAAAAGAAAAGAAAAAAGAAAACAAAUUGUUGGUAUCUAAUUAUUUUUUUGGUUACAAGUAUCUUGAGUGAUUAUUGAAGAGAAAGUUACAGUAAAAGUUUUUGAGAAGUACGAGAAUUUUUUAAAGAAAAGACAAAACAAAACUUUUUCAGACAAGAUGUCUGUGCUUCUAUUAUUCUGGGCACAUCAAGACCAGAUUUAAUACAAAGAAUCAAAUAUAAUAAAAUAUUUAUUUAUUAAUGAAAAAUCUAAUUAAGAAAAGAAAAAAGCUGAAACCACAAAACAAAACCCCACCCGUUCCUAGAUUUCCCCAAAACAAUAAGUUCAUAUAAUUAACAUCCAACAAAGGAAAUAACUUGACCGCGUCAAAUUCGAUCUAACACUUCAAAAAAAAAAAAACUCUUUAAAGAACGCACGAAAAUCUAAAAAAAGUAUUCAAAUCUCAUUUAAGUUAAAUAAAACAAACUUAUUCUUGAUAAAAAAAAAAAGGUGAAACGAAACGCGGGUUAAUGCACUGGAUUUAAGAUAAAAAUUGAAAUGGUUGGAAGCAGAGAAUCUAAAAAUUAUCACCAAUUGAUCAGAUCCGGGGGUGAUCUUGCGCCUUUUGAGAGCGACCUCGGAAUUGUUCAAUCCAAGCAAAAGCUUAUGCUUUUUCUGAGUGCGUUCGUCGUCUUCGUCGUUAAUUAAGUCGGGGACACUGGAGUUAGGGUUACGGUGAUUGGAUCGACGGUGGUGAGAGGAAGGGUAAGAGACAUUGAGCGAAUUAGGGUUUUUGAGAUUAGGGGUUUGUUGUUGUUGUUGUUGUUGUUUGAGAGAGCGUUUUUGGAGGUCUAAUAGAGAAGGACGUCCCUUCUUCUUUUUCUUCUUCGUCAUUGUGCCUGCUUCUAUCUCUCCCAUUCUUCCCCCCCCCCCUUCUUCUUCUUUUGGUGUUUUCUCCUUCUCUCCCCAGACAUGCGUUAAAUUAUUUUUAUUUUUAUUUUUUAUUCUAUUGUGUCUUAUUGUUUUUCUUUUAUUGCUUUUCUUUAAUUUUCUUUUUUUUAUUAAUAUUGAGGAAGUGUGGGUUUGGUACGUACGGUUCGCCUGCUAAUGCGGAGAGGAACUAAGUCACGUGAUUUAAAUAAAAGAACUCUUUCAUUUUCUGUUUUAUUAAAUAAAUUAACAAAUAAUUUAAUUAUAAUCACAUCACAUCAUAAAUCACAAGCGGUUUGAUCACUUGUAAUACUUGAAAAAAUUUCCAUUAGAUCAUACUUUUCUUUUUAAUUAGUUGAAAUCUAAAGAAUCAAAAAAAAUUAUUUAUAAAGAAAAAGGAAAGUAAACUGGCAAAGGUUCAUGUCCUGUAUCUUUAUAUGCUUGAAUUCAGCCCUUACGUAAUGUGAGUUUUCAGAUCAAAUAAAUCAUACAUAACUACUUAUAACAGAAGACAAUUCAAAAUGGAAUAUUAAUCUAAGGUGCCAAGGAUGCUGCAACAGUAGUGCAUAUACAAUUCAGAAUGGAACUCCAACUCUCCAAAGAGAAUUCUUUUUUGCUAGAACCAGCAGCACAAAAUGGACCUUUGUACAAGAAAAGUAACAAUGAAAAAUUGGAUAAAUAAAUGAGGAAGUCGAUAGCAAUGAUAUUUCUAGAGAAUCAAUUAACUCAUUCAUAUGCGAACCAGAUUAUAAUGGAAUCAUAUCAUUUCCUAAGUUGUCUAAAAAAAGCAAGAAUCUUCAGAACCCUGACCUUAUUUCUUUCUCCUGAUGCAACAAGUCCAUUUUAAUUUGUUCAUCCAACUUGAAUCCUGCCAUCUCUGCUUCCUUCCAAAUCUCCUUGCACUUCGCCAGCCUCCCAGAAACCAAGUAAAUUUUAAUCAAGUUCCUAUAUAUGUCAUAUGUUGGAGACAAACCCGCUUCCUUAAGUUUCGAAAAAUAUCUUACAGCCCUUGGGAGAUCAUUCAAGGCAACAAAUAGCUUUAUAACAACCCGAUAAGCUGGAAGAUCAAAGAGAAAACUUGAACCCUCCAUUUCCCAAACCCCAGCCAAUGCUUCCCUGUAUUUCUUUUCCGAAUAACGGCUGUGAAUCAGGGUAGUGUACAUAACCACACUUGGCUCAUGCCCAGAUUGCUUAAACCAAGUGAAUAGACACUCCACAAACUCAAACUUUUGGAGCCUAAUGCAAACUUUCAUUAUAGCAGUACAAUCCUGAUGGCUUAAAUUCAAAUCUUCUCUUUCCCCGAGCUCAUCUAACAACUGUUCAACAAGCAUGUACUUAUCCGGAUUCUUUCCCAGCUCAAGUAUCAACCUUGCAUACAGACUAGCGUCUAACAUUCUCUUAUCGUGCUUGGCAACAGCGAGAAGCUUCCAAGCAAGCUUCAAGCGUCCACCUUUAAGGAAACCUCGAAUCAUUGCUUCGAUAACACCCCUACUUGCCAAACUAGUAAACUUCUGCCAGUCAAUCGGUACUUUCAAGUCUUGAUUCCUUGCCAAAAUCUCGACAGUAGAAGCUAAAAUCCUAUCAUCGGGGUAAAGUUGAGGUUGUUUCUGAGCCCAACAGAAGGUCUGCAGAGCUCUAUCAGGAAAACCCAUAUGACCCAACUCUCGAAUUGUUAAAGACAAGGACCCUUUACGCAAGAAACGAGCACAAUCAUCAAGAACCGCAGAAACAUCA
rnacentral:lncRNA from 1 species